UCUCGGGUGACGAGUGGCGGACGGGUGAGUAAUGUCUGGGGAUCUGCCCGAUAGAGGGGGAUAACCACUGGAAACGGUGGCUAAUACCGCAUAACGUCGCAAGACCAAAGAGGGGGACCUUCGGGCCUCUCACUAUCGGAUGAACCCAGAUGGGAUUAGCUAGUAGGCGGGGUAACGGCCCACCUAGGCGACGAUCCCUAGCUGGUCUGAGAGGAUGACCAGCCACACUGGAACUGAGACACGGUCCAGACUCCUACGGGAGGCAGCAGUGGGGAAUAUUGCACAAUGGGCGCAAGCCUGAUGCAGCCAUGCCGCGUGUAUGAAGAAGGCCUUCGGGUUGUAAAGUACUUUCAGCGGGGAGGAAGGCGAUGUGGUUAAUAACCGCGUCGAUGACUACCCGCUUAAU
rnacentral:rRNA from 1 species